AAGAUUUUAAGUUAAUGAAACUUUUAAUUUUCAAAAUUAAUAAUAUAAUUUAAAUUAUAAAUCUUA
rnacentral:tRNA from 1 species